GGGCGCAWKYCUGAUGCAGCGMCGCCGCGUGAGGGAUGGAGGCCUUCGGGUUGUAAACCUCUUUUAUCGGGGAGCAAGCGUGAGUGAGUUUACCCGUUGAAUAAGCACCGGCUAACUACGUGCCAGCAGCCGCGGUAAUACGUAGGGUGCAAGCGUUAUCCGGAAUUAUUGGGCGUAAAGGGCUCGUAGGCGGUUCGUCGCGUCCGGUGUGAAAKUYYAUCGCUUAACGGUGGAUCCGCGCCGGGUACGGGCGGGCUUGAGUGCGGUAGGGGAGACUGGAAUUCCCGGUGUAACGGUGGAAUGUGUAGAUAUCGGGAAGAACACC
rnacentral:rRNA from 1 species